rnacentral:snoRNA from 1 species
GUGGAUGUGAUGAUUAUUUCCCCAAAUGAUCGAAUCUGAAUUAACUGAGCGCACAAUUCAGGUUUCUUCUUUUGGUGAAAUUCAAGCCAGAAAUAUAAAUAUGAUCCAU